CGGUCAUCAUCGUGGAUGCUCAGUAAUUCACUGUCAUAGUGUAGCAGGAAAAAAUACUGACAGAGGUAGUUCAUAGCCUCCAGCAAAUACAGCUAGUAAUCAAUAGUGGCGCAACCUCGACAACAGUCUCAUCAGUGGGAUGGGCCAUACCACUCAGUCCAUCACUCUCAACAUAUCGAUCGUCACUUAUUUCUCUCCUAUAAAGCUGAUAAGGGGAAACGACGAUAUUUUUUUUUUCUUCAUCCAACGAAAGUUCUACUCCUGGAUGCUC
rnacentral:lncRNA from 1 species